rnacentral:rRNA from 1 species
UAGCGGCAGGCCUAAUACAUGCAAGUCGAGGGGUAGUGUAGCAAUACAUGAGACCGGCGCACGGGUGCGUAACGCGUAUGAAAGGUGUCCAGACCUCUGGGAUAGCCCCCGGAAACGGGGAUUAAUACCGGAUGGCCCGUUAGAGUGGCAUCACUUUGACGGUAAAGCUCAGGCGGGUCUGGGUCCUCAUGCGUACGAUUAGCUAGUUGGCGGGGUAACGGCCCACCAAGGCGACGAUCGUUAGGGGUCCUGAGAGGGAGAUCCCCCACACUGGUACUGAGACACGGGCCAGACUCCUACGGGAGGCAGCAGUAGGGAAUAUUGGGCAAUGGGCGCAAGCCUGACCCAGCCAUGCCGCGUGCAGGAAGAAGGCCCUCUGGGUUGUAAACUGCUUUUGGGAGGGGACAAAAAGCGGGUGCGCCCGUAAUUGAGUGUACCUCCAGAAUAAGCACCGGCUAACUCCGUGCCAGCAGCCGCGGUAAUACGGAGGGUGCAAGCGUUGUCCGGAUUUAUUGGGUUUAAAGGGUGCGUAGGCGGCCAAAUAAGUCGGGGGUGAAACCCACAGGCUUAACCUGUGGAGUGCCCUCGAUACUGUAUGGCUUGGGUUAUCUCUAGGCGGGCGGAAUGGAAGGUGUAGCGGUGAAAUGCAUAGAUAUCUACCAGAACGCCGAUAGCGAAGGCAGCUCGCUGGGGAUAUACCGACGCUGAGGCACGAUAGCGUGGGGAUCAAACAGGAUUAGAUACCCUGGUAAUCCACGCCGUAAACGAUGGCCACUCGGUGUCAGCAUUAAGUGUUGGCGCCCAAGCGAAAGCGUUAAGUGGCCCACCU